rnacentral:sRNA from 1 species
CUCCCCCUCGCUCACCACCACCUCUACUUCGCAGUGGAAGAAACAUUGGUUUGUGCUGACAGAUUCAAGUCUCAAAUAUUACAGAGACUCCACUGCUGAGGAGGCAGAUGAGCUGGAUGGUGAGAUCGACCUGCGUUCCUGCACGGAUGUCACUGAGUACGCGGUGCAGCGCAACUAUGGCUUCCAGAUCCACGUGAGGCUGCGUGCAGCUUGGGGGCUGGUGGUGGGCAGCGUGGCUGGAGGCCCCUGGGGAAGGUUUUGGUGUUGAACAUGGCUCACCAUGGAGACUGGAUCCUUUCACUCAUUUACCCAGAGGCUCUGUCUUCAGAGCCGGAGCUGUGAUGCCAACACUUAGCAUAUCUGGGGGAGAUGCUGGAGCCAGCAGGGCUCUUCCCAGGCCAAUGGAAGGGAGGUUCCCUUCCCUGCCCACCCCAGACUGAAGACCUUAGAUGCAUCCUGGGAAGGAAGGGCCACCCUCCCUGGGGUCCAUAGUGGGGAAGGAGUCAUGGGG